UACGUAGGGCGCAAGCGUUUAUCCGGAAUUAUUGGGCGUAAAGAGCUCGUAGGCGGUUUGUCGCGUCUGCCGUGAAAGUCCGGGGCUCAACUCCGGAUCUGCGGUGGGUACGGGCAGACUAGAGUGAUGUAGGGGGAGACUGGAAUUCCUGGUGUAGCGGUGAAAUGCGCAGAUAUCAGGAGGAACACCGAUGGCGAAGGCAGGUCUCUGGGCAUUAACUGACGCUGAGGCGCGAAAGCGUGGGGAGCGAACAGG
rnacentral:rRNA from 1 species